rnacentral:rRNA from 1 species
UGGUGGGUUGCCUUGUCAGGUUGAUUCCGGUAACGAACGAGACCUCAGCCUGCUAAAUAGUCAACAUCGCCUCGGCGGUGUGCAGACUUCUUAGAGGGACUAUUAGCGUUUAGCUAAUGGAAGUAUGAGGCGAUAACA